UACCAGCUCUCCGAGUGGUAGGGAUGAUUAUUGGGCUUAAAGCGUCCGUAGCCGGCUUAGCAAGUCUCCUGUUAAAUUCAGUGACCUAAUCGUUGAGCCGCGGGAGAUACUACUAGGCUAGGAGGCGGGAGAGGUCGACGGUACUUCUGGGGUAGGGGUGAAAUCCUAUAAUCCCGGGAGGACCACCAGUGGCGAAGGCUGUCGACUAGAACGCGCUCGACGGUGAGGGACGAAAGCUGGGGGAGCGAACCGGAUUAGAUACCCGGGUAGUCCCAGCUGUAAACGAUACGGGCUAGGUGUUGGGGUGGCUACGUGCCACUUCAGUGCCGCAGGGAAGCCAUUAAGCCCGCCGCCUGGGGAGUACGGCCGCAAGGCUGAAACUUAAAGGAAUUGGCGGGGGAGCGACCACAAGGCGUGAAGCUUGCGGUUC
rnacentral:rRNA from 1 species